UGGAAUUAGAAUAUAUAAUAUAGAAACAACUUGACAAAAGUAAGGUUUAAUAAGGGCUACAUGUUGGAAUAACAAUAAGGUUAAAAUUAAUAGGUAUGCAUUAUUCUAAUCCUCCUUUUUAUAUCAUCUAUAUAUAUAUCACACAAAAAAUCCCAAAAUAAAUAAUUAAAGGUUAAAAUACACAUUUAGUGAAUGCAAAUAUAUUAUAUUUUGCUUUCAAUCCCUAUAAAAAUUGUAGGUGGAACGUUCAG
rnacentral:lncRNA from 1 species